UCUCAUAGCUCAGUUGGUAAAGAAUCUGCCUGCAAUGCAGGAGACCCUGGUUUGAUUCCUGGGUUGGGAA
rnacentral:tRNA from 1 species